AUCUGGGCGGCGGAAUUCAGGAUAGCUGAGCGGGUUUCGCGCUCGUUCGGUUGUUUGAUAUUUCCGUCGCUGUAUCAGACGUCGCGACCUGUUUGUCGUCGGUCCUUGCUCGGAGGAAUUGCGAUCGAGUUUGUUGCGAGCGCGUUUCGGCGUGUCUCGCGGCGAAGGCGCAUCUUUCUGGCUGACGACGGACAGUAAGCAACGGUGUCCGGCGUCGUGUCUCGCACUCGACGUCGGUGCCGGUCGGCGACGAUUUCUUCGGGCCUCUUUCCGACCCGUCUUGAAACACGGACCAAGGAGUCUAACAUGCGCGCGAGUCGCGGGGUUUCGAGCGUGCCACGGUGCGCUCGUUACAUUCGAAACCCGUACGUUGAAGGCGUAAUGAAAGUGAACAGGGAAGAUGGCGUUCCGAGUCCACGUACCGUGAUCGAGUAUCGCGGCCGGACGCCCGCAUUCCCGGGGCGUCUCAAUGGUUCGUCGCGGAUGCGGACGGUCGUCUUUCGGGGCGGCGGUCGGUCUGCGACGGUCCGA
rnacentral:rRNA from 1 species